AUAAAUUCAAGAUGGCCGCCGCUACAAAAUGGCGGAUAAUUUAUGUUUUAUCAAUCCCAUCAAUAUGGGUAUCAAAUGAAAGGGCUCAACAAGCAGAAUACAAUAUACUAUAAAAAAUUGAAAUACAAGAUGGCGGCCGCUACAAAAUGGCGGAUAACGUAGGUUUUAUCGAUCCCAUCAAUAUGGGUAUCAAAUGAAAGUGCUU
rnacentral:misc_RNA from 1 species